UGUCGUCGUGGCUGUAAUUCAUCAACCAAGUCAUCAACAGUGCGUUUUCUUGUCGACGCUAAAAUAGCAGUGCAAGUGAGAAAAUUUUCUACUUCCAAAUUUGUCAACUCUUUCGUGCACUUUGGGGUGGCAUAUGGCUUCAGCCUCUGAGAAAACAGUUGAAUAACUUGACUUUAGACUACGUGAUGAUGACGACUGGCGUGAUUUACAUUGAGUCAAAAAUACUGCUCAUACUUGUGAUAAACAAAGAAAGCAAAUUUGAAAUUUCGUGUAAAACUGUCAAGGGAUUCUGUUUAGCAUCACGUCGGCACUUAGCUGUCAUCUGUCAAUUUGGCAUUUGGCUAUAAUCUCGGAUCGGUCGGUAUGAAACUGUAUAUCCUUUAUUACGAAUUUCGAUCUUUUUUCUUCAUUCUUCUAUUACUCAGUCAGUAGUAUAUAAGUCCAGGUCAAAUUCGCAUAUGUGAAGUUAAUCUGUAGGACACAUGAAGUCAUUACAGGAAAAUACGACCGACAAAGAAGAUCAACAUAAUAACUUGUUACUGUUAGCACUGUUAGUAUUCAAAGAUGUAUUAAUCAGGUGUUCAGUUCAACAACAUCACUAUGGAGGAGACUCCUCAUAUCCUCGUUAGCUGGUCCUGCAGUUUUCAGGGGAUUGAGUCUUUGUCAGAUGGCAUGGUUUGCCACCAGUCAAUGUUGAACAAAUUGGCCGGUAGCUGGGAAUUUAUUCCUAACUUUGAAAUUUGACAAGCAGGCUGUUUCUAUCUUUGACUAAGCUAAAAGAAGUCAUUGUAUCAUCAGCCCUUACUGAUGAAACUUUUUUUUUGAAUCCCACAACUAUGACCGCCAUCUAGCCUUUCCAGUCAAUGAGCUUCGAAAAUUAGAAGCUGUCUGAAAAAAGAUUGAAAACGACGAGGGCUCAAGACUUGUUCUCUGAGAUGAUCCCCAUUACUGACACCAAACUCCUUGCUUUGUUGAUCAAAGAAUUGGUUCUGAGUGGAAAACUCACUGAGAUGGAAGCACAUUUAUGAUUCUUGUCUUACCCUACCAGCAUCUGAGCAACUGUUCACCUCACGGGAGAAUCUCUUGAAAGAGAGCCUCAACAUAAAGAUCAAGGAACCGACACCAUCAACAAGUACAUCAUAGCAUGUCAUGCAAGUCGUUAAAGAUCCACACUGCGUACUCCAACUUGAUGCCUGCUUCACUCUGCGUAACACCAACUUGAUCCCUGCCAUUGAGCAAUAUGAGCAUCUUAUGGAAAAACGCAUCUUGAGCAUCUCACGUCAAAAGCGGGUCCGUUCUUCACGCCGUCCACCUCACGUCAUCUUUGCUCUGCAGCUCAUCGCCGCCGUUAACCGCAACAAUUUCUUGCCUGCUAUUCUCCCCCUGAUUCUGAAUGCCACCGAGAUCCGUGUAUCCGCUAUCGUUCACCUUGUUCUGCCGUUCUGCUUUCAUCCCCCUUUCCUCGAGCAUCUUUCCCCGUGUCUGUUAUUUGUUUAUAAAAAUACAAUCAUUUGCUAACAAA
rnacentral:lncRNA from 1 species